rnacentral:misc_RNA from 1 species
GGUUUUAUCAUUAGUUUUAUUUCAUAAUGAUAAUAGAAGAUAUCUAUGAUGAUAACAAAUAUUUUUAUUGUUAACGCAUUUUAUUUUAAAAUUAUUUAACAUUUUUACAAAUUGAAGUAUUCCCGAUUCUGUACGAAUUAUCAUUUGUCUUCAAGCUAUGGUUCGUACUUGCAUUGUUUGUCAUGUAUCCUCUAAAGAUAAUACAGGCAACGUAUCAUUUCAUUUGGAUAUGAUGGUGGAGCAAAUAUGUCUGGUAAAUACCGCGGAGUUCAAGCUAGAAUCUUAAAUUUGCAACCAAAGGCAAUAUACACUCAUUGUGCAUCGCACCGCCUAAAUCUAACUUUAAUAAAAGCAUGUAGAGACAUGAUAUCGAAAGAAAAGUAUCGAUACUUUCACUUGGUAACGAAUGGAAUGAAAAUAACGAAACGUAACGACCGUAGUAUCGCAACAUCCAUAAUCACGAGGGCUCUUCUGUAAAUUGUUGUCUUUUCGUGAACACUGAUAGUAUGUUUAUGUUGCUGUGAUGUUUCAAACACCGUUUUAAUUUGUUUCCUUGUCAAUCAAUCUUGUUGUCCAACAAUGUUUCAUAGCGGCCCUUCUAUAGGUCAGUGACUAAGUGUACCUUUUGGCCAAAAGAAGAGGAACAAUACCGAAACAUCACACAUGGUAUAGCAGAACUUGCAUCUUAUUCCUUCUACACCAGAUUAUUACAUUUUUUAUUUACUUAAACCACUACAAUGUCAAAUCUUCAACAUAGUGGCAACUUGAGAAAUGCUCCUGCGAAGAGUGUCCUUGAUGUGGUGAUAUAGAUAUUGGCAAAUAGUGGUGUAUCAAGUCGACUGAGUGAUCCAGUAAUAGCUAAAAAUUUCUCAUUAUUGAUUGAUAUUAAUGGUAUUAAAGAUGACAUUAAAGAAUUUUCAAGGUCU